UCCAUAAUGACCAGCGGGUGCACAGGCCUGGGCUUGAAGGAAGGAAAUCAUCAGAAACAACAGGAUAAUGCUCCUCCCUCAGGGCAUGGGUAGUGGUGAGCAUUUUCAAGGUUUGAUCUCAGUUACUCACUUACUUGAAGAAGGCUUUGAUGAUUCCUGGAGAAGAAAUCCCAGGUACUUCUGCACAUGAUUCAAAGUUCUCUUACAACCGGCUUCAACCUGACUUCCAAGCCUUGUCUCUGGCCUCUCCCUUCCUUCACGCCGUGCUUCACCGAGUCUGCAUAUACUCAUCAACUUUCCAGACUCCCGAG
rnacentral:lncRNA from 1 species